rnacentral:rRNA from 1 species
AAAUUGAAGAGUUUGAUCAUGGCUCAGAUUGAACGCUGGCGGCAGGCCUAACACAUGCAAGUCGAACGGUAACAGGAAGAAGCUUGCUUCUUUGCUGACGAGUGGCGGACGGGUGAGUAAUGUCUGGGAAACUGCCUGAUGGAGGGGGAUAACUACUGGAAACGGUAGCUAAUACCGCAUAACGUCGCAAGACCAAAGAGGGGGACCUUCGGGGCCUCUUGCCAUCGG